AGAGUUUGAUCCUGGCUCAGAACGAACGCUGGCGGCGUGCCUAACACAUGCAAGUCGUACGAGAAAAUCCGCUUCGGCGGGUGAGUAGAGCGGCGCACGGGUGAGUAACGCGUGGAUAAUCUGCCUUUAAGCUGGGAAUAACUCACCGAAAGGUGGGCUAAUACCCGAUAAUGCUAUGGGACUUCGGUUUUAUAGCCAAAGAGAGCCUCUACAUGUAAGCCUUCACUUAAAGAUGAGUCCGCGUACCAUUAGCUAGUUGGUAGGGUAAUGGCCUACCAAGGCGACGAUGGUUAGCUGGUCUGAGAGGAUGAUCAGCCACACUGGAACUGAGACACGGUCCAGACUCCUACGGGAGGCAGCAGUGAGGAAUAUUGCGCAAUGGGGGCAACCCUGACGCAGCAACGCCGCGUGAGUGAGGAAGGUCUUCGGAUCGUAAAGCUCUGUCGGGUGGGAAGAAGUGUGCAUAGGUUAAUAGCUUGUGCACUUGACGGUACCGCCAAAGGAAGCACCGGCUAACUCCGUGCCAGCAGCCGCGGUAAUACGGGGGGUGCGAGCGUUGUUCGGAAUCAUUGGGCGUAAAGAGCGUGUAGGCGGCUAGGCAAGUCAGAUGUGAAAUCCCUGGGCUUAACCCAGGAAGUGCAUUUGAAACUGCUUAGCUUGAGUAAGGAAGAGGGAAGUGGAAUUCCUGGUGUAGAGGUGAAAUUCGUAGAUAUCAGGAGGAACACCGGUGGCGAAGGCGACUUCCUGGUCCUAUACUGACGCUGAGACGCGAGAGCGUGGGGAGCAAACAGGAUUAGAUACCCUGGUAGUCCACGCCGUAAACGAUGU
rnacentral:rRNA from 1 species